UACGUAGGGUGCAAGCGUUAAUCGGAAUUACUGGGCGUAAAGCGUGCGCAGGCGGUUCGUUGUGUCGGCGGUGAAAGCCCCGGGCUUAACCUGGGAAUGGCCGUUGAAACUGGCGAACUGGAGUGUGGCAGAGGGGGGGUGGAAUUCCGCGUGUAGCAGUGAAAAUGCGUAGAGAUGCGGAGGAACACCGAUGGCGAAGGCAGCCCCCCCUGGGCUAACACUGACGCUCAGGCACGAAAGCGUGGGGGAGCAAACAGG
rnacentral:rRNA from 1 species